rnacentral:ncRNA from 2 species
AGUUGUGAUAGAGGCGCGGAACGGAUGAGUAGCCGUCGGAGGGGACACCCGACGAAGACGGCGAAAGGCCCGCCCGCCGAAACGCGGCGCCCGGUAGAGCACCGCGUUGGGCACGGUGGAAAGACCACCGUGACUCCUGACGGAUUCACGCCGUCAGAGGCGCUAUCGGUGGU